rnacentral:rRNA from 1 species
CCUACGGGAGGCAGCAGUGGGGAAUUUUGCGCAAUGCUCGUAAGAGUGACGCAGCGACGCCGCGUGAAUGACGAAGGCCUUCGGGUCGUAAAGUUCUUUCGACAGGGAAGAAAAUGCCUAUAAGUAACUGUGUAUGUAUUGACGGUACCUGUAUAAGCAGCCCCGGCUAACUCCGUGCCAGCAGCCGCGGUAAUACGGAGGGGGCGAGCGUUGUUCGGAGUGACUGGGCGUAAAGAGCACGUAGGCGGUGUUGUAAGUCAUUAGUCAAAGACUAGAGCUCAACUUUAGUAAGGCUAGUGAUACUAUAAUACUAGAGUAUCAGAGAGGAUUGCAGAAUUCCUGGUGUAGCGGUGAAAUGCGUAGAUAUCAGGAGGAAUACCGUUAGCGAAGGCGGCAAUCUGGCUGGAAACUGACGCUGAGGUGCGAAAGCGUGGGUAGCAAACAGGAUUAGAUACCCCAG